rnacentral:rRNA from 1 species
UACCAGCACCCCGAGUGGUCGGGACGUUUAUUGGGCCUAAAGCAUCCGUAGCCGGUUCUGCAAGUCUUCCGUUAAAUCCACCUGCUUAACAGAUGGGCCGCGGAAGAUACUAUAGAGCUAGGAGGCGGGAGAGGCAAGCGGUACUCGAUGGGUAGGGGUAAAAUCCGUUGAUCCAUUGAAGACCACCAGUGGCGAAGGCGGCUUGCCAGAACGCGCUCGACGGUGAGGGAUGAAAGCUGGGGAGCAAACCGGG